GUACUCUCACACUCCCGAUCGUUUGGUUGGGAGCGGUGGACUUGGGUGUUGCUGCUUGACCGUGGCUCACCUCAAAUGCAGCAGUGCACCUCUCGGUUGGACAUAGUACGGCGUGAUAAGUGUCUUCGCCGGCACCUCGCAGAGGGUGGCCGAUCGGGAGCUCUGUGCUUCCAACCGUCCUCGGACAACAACUGACA
rnacentral:misc_RNA from 1 species